rnacentral:tRNA from 1 species
CCAUCUCGUUAGUAUAGUUUCAACAAACAUUAGAAUGUGAGCCUAAAAUUAGAGGUGUAAACCCUCUUACUAACCG